rnacentral:lncRNA from 1 species
AGAAACCUGACCUUAAAAGAUACUUCUGAUUCACUACCGUCUGUUAUAGAUGAGCCUUUGGAAGACCAAACACAACUUGAGUUGAAGAAUAAAAGUUCAUUAGAGAAGAUCAAUCAAAUUGUACCACUGCUUGUCAACAAAGGUGGACCUUGUCUUCAAAUCUUGAAUCUUCUCACAAAAGAAAGGACAAAGAAAUACAUUGAACAUCAAAGCACUUCUGCUCCAAUAUCAACCCCAAAAUCUGAACUAAAUGGCAUUUAUUGUGAACCUGACUUCCAAAUGGAUGCUGAGACUGGGUUCAGCUAUUUUUUGACUCGCUCAGAUAGUCCAGUGAUCAACAGCUGUGAUGUAGACUCCUCAAACACCUCGUCUACUACUUAUCCUUUUUCAAAUUUUACGGUCAGACCCAUAUCAGAACCCGCUUACUCUUUUGCAUCCUCUCCAGUGGGACCAUCUCACAUUGAGCACCCUUACUCGGCUCCUUUGCCAGUCUCCAAGGGGGCUGAUCUACCCCGAAUCAUCAGACACAAGCCCAGCUCCAUUACCUUUGCAGAUUAUGACAGUUUUUUGGGUCUGAUCAAGAAUGCCCAAGCCAAUGAAGGUUCAGAUGCUUGUGAGGCCUCUUCUGAAGAUGAAGGCCGUGAUGUGGUCUUCCAUGAUGAUAGCGAUGAUGUGUUUCCCAAGUGCAAAGAAUUUUUCCAAAGCUCCAGACAAAACGGGGAAGGAUUGAAGAAACAAAGGAGUAAAGGAACCUGUAGACAAGCACAUGGAGAAAGAAGUUCCAGCACCAAUCUGCCACCCAACAGAAGCAGCAGCUAUGAGGCAGAGGAGGAGAGCAGCAGUACAGAGAGUGGAGCUGUAGGGGUGAACCAGUCCCUCAACUUGAACAACAUGGCUAGAAGAAACGACACAAGGGAACGGCAUGGCCAAGAGAGACAUGCGGGAGCCACUUCCUCUCAGGGGAGAUCACAUGGUAAAAAGACAGAGAUGUCCAUCAAGAAGAGGCAUGGAGGCGCAGGUGAGUUCUCAUUUUCCUUUAUGUAUCAAACUGGGCUGGCAAUAAGACAUGUUUGGAUGUAAUAGGCACAGUAAUGUUUUUUGGUGCAUUUAUCAGACUGGGUAAAUGCGUUUGACAUUUGAGGUGUAAAAGAACCUCUUGUCAUGCAGUUUCUGAAAGUUAUAGGCCUAUAUAAACUUGUAUCCCCUACAUUAAGAUAUCCUACAUAUUUUUUUCUAAUCAGUUAAGAGAUGUUCACUAAUUAGACCAGUUUAUUGUUGAGCUCUUUAAUACUUGGAC